AUUGAACGCUGGCGGAAUGCUUUACACAUGCAAGUCGAACGGCAGCACGGGGGCAGCCCUGGUGGCGAGUGGCGAACGGGUGAGUAAUACAUCGGAACGUGCCCGGUCGUGGGGGAUAACGUAGCGAAAGUUACGCUAAUACCGCAUACGAUCUGAGGAUGAAAGCGGGGGACCUUCGGGCCUCGCGCGAUCGGAGCGGCCGAUGUCGGAUUAGGUAGUUGGUGGGGUAAAGGCCUACCAAGCCGACGAUCUGUAGCUGGUCUGAGAGGACGACCAGCCACACUGGGACUGAGACACGGCCCAGACUCCUACGGGAGGCAGCAGUGGGGAAUUUUGGACAAAGGGCGCAAGCCUGAUCCAGCCAUUCCGCGUGCAGGACGAAGGCCUUCGGGUUGUAAACUGCUUUUGUACGGAACGAAAAGGCUCUGGCUAAUACCUGGGGCUCAUGACGGUACCGUAAGAAUAAGCACCGGCUAACUACGUG
rnacentral:rRNA from 1 species